CCUACGGGUGGCAGCAGUGGGGGAUAUUGCACAAUGGGGGAAACCCUGAUGCAGCGAAGCCGCGUGUGGGAUGACGGUCCUCUGGAUUGUAAACCACUGUCCCCAGGGACGAAAAUGACGGUACCUGGGGAGGAAGCUCCGGCUAACUACGUGCCAGCAGCCGCGGUAAUACGUAGGGAGCGAGCGUUGUCCGGAAUUACUGGGUGUAAAGGGAGCGUAGGCGGGGAUGCAAGUUGGGUGUCAAAACUACCGGCUCAACUGGUAGUCGCAGUCGAAACUGCAGCUCUUGAGUGAAGCAGAGGCAGGCGGAAUUCGUGGUGUAGCGGUGAAAUGCAUAGAUAUUAGGAGGAACACCGGUGGCGAAGGCGGCAUGCUGGGCUUUUACUGACGCUGAGGCUCGAAAGUGUGGGGAUCGAACAGGAUUAGAUACCCGAGUAGUC
rnacentral:rRNA from 1 species